rnacentral:tRNA from 1 species
UGGUGUAGUGGUUAACACAUUCACUUAGCAAGUGAAAAGUUGCUGGUUCUACUCCAGC